ACACAUGCAAGUCGAACGGUGAAGGUCAGCUUGCUGACUGGAUCAGUGGCGAACGGGUGAGUAACACGUGAGCAACCUACCCUUCACUCUGGGAUAAGCCUUGGAAACGGGGUCUAAUACCGGAUACGAGACGCACGGGCAUCUGUAGCGUCUGGAAAGAUUUAUCGGUGGGGGAUGGGCUCGCGGCCUAUCAGCUUGUUGGUGGGGUAAUGGCCUACCAAGGCGACGACGGGUAGCCGGCCUGAGAGGGCGACCGGCCACACUGGGACUGAGACACGGCCCAGACUCCUACGGGAGGCAGCAGUGGGGAAUAUUGCACAAUGGGCGAAAGCCUGAUGCAGCGACGCCGCGUGCGGGAUGACGGCCUUCGGGUUGUAAACCGCUUUCAGCAGGGAAGAAGCGCAAGUGACGGUACCUGCAGAAGAAGCGCCGGCUAACUACGUGCCAGCAGCCGCGGUAAUACGUAGGGCGCAAGCGUUGUCCGGAAUUAUUGGGCGUAAAGAGCUCGUAGGCGGUUUGUCGCGUCUGCUGUGAAAACCUCAGGCUCAACCUGGGGCUUGCAGUGGGUACGGGCAGACUAGAGUGCGGUAGGGGUGACUGGAAUUCCUGGUGUAGCGGUGGAAUGCGCAGAUAUCAGGAGGAACACCGAUGGCGAAGGCAGGUCACUGGGCCGCAACUGACGCUGAGGAGCGAAAGCAUGGGGAGCGAACAGGAUUAGAUACCCUGGUAGUCCAUGCCGUAAACGUUGGGCACUA
rnacentral:rRNA from 1 species